rnacentral:rRNA from 1 species
UAAGGAAUAUUGGUCAAUGGACGCAAGUCUGAACCAGCCAUGCCGCGUGAAGGAUGAAGGUCCUCUGGAUUGUAAACUUCUUUUAUCUGGGACGAAAACGGGAUUUUUAUCUCAAUUGACGGUACCAGAGGAAUAAGCACCGGCUAACUCCGUGCCAGCAGCCGCGGUAAUACGGAGGGUGCGAGCGUUAUCCGGAUUUACUGGGUUUAAAGGGUGCGUAGGUGGGCUUAUAAGUCAGUGGUGAAAUCUCCGAGCUUAACUUGGAAACUGCCGUUGAUACUAUAGGUCUUGAAUUAUCUGGAGGUAAGCGGAAUAUGUCAUGUAGCGGUGAAAUGCUUAGAUAUGACAUAGAACACCAAUUGCGAAGGCAGCUUACUGCAUAUAAAUUGACGCUGAGGCGCGAAAGCGUGGGGAUCAAAC